rnacentral:lncRNA from 1 species
ACAUGCUCUCAUGUUUUGAAUGUGCUGUUUUUCCCAUUUGCUGAAGAAGCCAACUUUGUUGAUACUAAGAAAAGAAACGAGUAGCUCAAGCCUCCCUUUAGGCUGAAUGCAGGUAUAGUUAAUGCAGGAAUACAUUCAAUGGAUAGUGUUUGUCUAAAACUAAAAAAAGAAAAAAAUCCCCCAGAACGCUGUACAUGAGCACUAGGAAAGAAAUCUGCAUGGAUGACUCUUCCUAAGAGCUGCAAAUAUUGUAGGAAUUCAAUGUGAUGUAAGCAAUGCCACAGUUGAAGACUGCUCUCCAGAAGAGACCAAAAUCACAGCAGUGUUUGCUAACAAGGCUAUAACUUCACAUGAUUGGCACUGUAGUUUUGAGGAAAUUUCAACAUGUUGGUCAUUUCACAAGAAAUUGCAAGUAGUUUUGUUAGGUAAAUGUUGAUCAUUUGACAGAAGUUAGAUAGCAAUAUCUAUUCAGUAUUCAGUGUUGCACUAGAGAAGACAUUUAUGCUAUAAUAAAACAAUGUAAUUCUGAUAACCA